UACGUAGGGUGCGAGCGUUAAUCGGAAUUACUGGGCGUAAAGCGUGCGCAGGCGGUUUUGUAAGUCAGAUGUGAAAUCCCCGAGCUCAACUUGGGGAACUGCGUUUUGAAACUACAAGACUAGAAAUAUGUCAGAGGGGGGGUAGAAUUCCACGUGUAGCAGUGAAAUGCGUAGAGAUGUGGAGGAAUACCAAUGGCGAAGGCAGCCCCCUGGGAUAAUAUUGACGCUCAUGCA
rnacentral:rRNA from 1 species